rnacentral:rRNA from 1 species
UACGUAGGGUGCGAGCGUUAAUCGGAAUUACUGGGCGUAAAGUGUGCGCAGGCGGCCGAGCAAGUCGAGUGUGAAAGCCCCGAGCUUAACUUGGGAACUGCGCUCGAAACUACUUGGCUAGAGUGUGGCAGGAGGGAGGUGGAAUUCCACGUGUAGCGGUGAAAAUGCGUAGAGAUGUGGAGGAACACCGAUGGCGAAGGCAGCCUCCUGGGCCAACACU